UGCCAGCAGCCGCGGUAAUACGUAGGUGGCGAGCGUUAUUCGGAUUUACUGGGCGUAAAGGGUCCGUAGGGGGAUUUUUAAGUCAGAUGUGAAAUUUCAAGGCUCAACCUUGAACCUGCAUUUGAAACUGAAGAUCUAGAGUUCGGUAGAGGUAAGUGGAAUUUGUGGUGUAGCGGUGGAAUGCGUAGAUAUCACAAGGAACAUCGAAGGCGAAAGCAGCUUACUGGGCCUGAACUGACCCUGAGGGACGAAAGCUAAGGUAGCGAAAAGGAUUAGAUA
rnacentral:rRNA from 1 species